ACGAACGCUGGCGGCGUGCUUAACACAUGCAAGUCGAACGAGAAAGCCCUUCGGGGUGAGUAGAGUGGCGCACGGGUGAGUAAUGAAUAGGAACGUACCAAUCGGAGGGGGAUAACCACGGGAAACUGUGGCUAAUACCGCGUAAGAUCGAGAGAAGAGAGAAGGCCUCUCCAUGGAAGCUUUCGCCGAUUGAUCGGCCUAUUUCCCAUUAGCUAGUUGGUGAGGUAAAGGCUUACCAAGGCAACGAUGGGUAGCUGGUCUGAGAGGACGACCAGCCACACUGGAACUGAGAAACGGUCCAGACUCCUACGGGAGGCAGCAGUGGGGAAUCUUGCACAAUGGGCGAAAGCCUGAUGCAGCAACGCCGCGUGAGUGAGGAAGGCCUUUGGGUCGUAAAGCUCUUUCGGCUGGGAAGAAGGGUAAACCAGGUAAUAUUUGGUUUAUUUGACGGUACUAGAAGAAGAAGCACUGGCUAAUUCCGU
rnacentral:rRNA from 1 species